rnacentral:tRNA from 1 species
GAAUAUGAAGUGAUAUAUCACAAUUAGUUUCGACCUAAUUCUAGGUAAUACUUACCCUUAUUCU